rnacentral:rRNA from 1 species
CGAUGGACAACAGGUUGAAAUUCCUGUACCUUAAGUAAACAGAACUGUGGGGACACGUGUGGAGAGCACAAGCCGGAAAUGGAAAAGCCGGUGCAAGCGAGGUAGGAGUACAGUAGGCAAAUCCGCUGUACAAUCCGAAGACGUGAUGCGGACCGAAUUAAGAGUAGGGAAGUGUGUGAGCCAUGCGUCAAGAAAAGCCGCUAUUGUUUUACUUAAGCCCGUACCGUAAACCGACACAGGUGGAUGAGGAGAGAAUCCUAAGGCCGACGGGAGAAGCAUUGUUAAGGAACUCGGCAAAAUGACUCCGUAACUUCGGGAGAAGGAGUGCCAGCGAGAGCUGGCCGCAGAGAAUUGGCCCAAGCAACUGUUUAGCAAAAACACAGGUCUAUGCAAAACCGUAAGGUGAAGUAUAUGGGCUGACGCCUGCCCGGUGCUGGAAGGUUAAGAGGAGAGGUUAGCGGCAACGCGAAGCUUUGAAUUUAAGCCCCAGUAAACGGCGGCCGUAACUAUAACGGUCCUAAGGUAGCGAAAUUCCUUGUCGGGUAAGUUCCGACCCGCACGAAAGGCGUAAUGAUUUGGGCACUGUCUCAACAAUGCACCCGGUGAAAUUGAAAUACCAGUGAAGAUGCUGGUUACCUGCGCCAGGACGGAAAGACCCCAUGGAGCUUUACUCCAGCUUGAUACUGGGAUUCGGUAUUGCAUGUACAGGAUAGGUGGGAGGCUAGGAAGUGAUAACGCCAGUUGUCACGGAGCCGCUGUUGGGAUACCACCCUUGCAGUAUUGGAUUUCUAACCAGCGACCAUGAACUGGUCGGGGGACAAUGUCAGGUGGGGAGUUUGACUGGGGCGGUCGCCUCCGAAAGGGUAUCGGAGGCGCUCAAAGGUUCCCUCAGAAUGGACGGAAACCAUUCGAAGAGUGCAAAGGCAGAAGGGAGCUUGACUGCGACACCGACGGGUGGAGCGGGUACGAAAGUAGGACUUAGUGAUCCGGUGGUAUAAAGUGGGAUUGCCAUCGCUCAACGGAUAAAAGCUACCCUGGGAUAACAGGCUUAUCACUCCCAAGAGUUCACAUCGACGGAGUGGUUUGGCACCUCGAUGUCGGCUCAUCGCAUCCUGGGGCUGAAGUAGGUCCCAAGGGUUGGGCUGUUCGCCCAUUAAAGCGGUACGCGAGCUGGGUUCAGAACGUCGUGAGACAGUUCGGUCCCUAUCCGGCGUGGGCGUAGGAUAUUUGAGAGGAGCUGUCCUUAGUACGAGAGGACCGGGAUGGACUGGCCGCUGGUGUAUCUGUUGCAUACCAAAUGCAUGGCAGAGUAGCCAAGCCGGGACGGGAUAAACGCUGAAGGCAUCUAAGCGUGAAGCCCCCCUCAAGAUGAGAUAUCCCUACGUAAGUAGUAAGACCCCUUGAAGACGACGAGGUAGAUAGGUCAGAGGUGGAAGUACAGUAAUGUAUGGAGCUGACUGAUACUAAUCGGUCGAGGGCAUGACC